CUAUCAUUCCCACAAGGCAGCAGGAGCAGAGAGCAGCCAUUGCUGUGUCUGGCAGCAGGAGGCGGAGUAUAUAGAGGAACACAGGGGUCUGUACAAGGCGAUGAUGAUGGAGAAUCUCCGGCCCCUCACAUCACUGGAUGGACCCAGUAACAGAGAUACCCCAGAGAGAUGUCCCCGUCCUCUGUAUUCCCAGGAUUGUACAGAGGAGAAUCACAGGACCCCACAGGAG